rnacentral:rRNA from 1 species
CGGCACGGGUGAGUAACACGUAUCCAACCUGCCGUCUACUCUUGGCCAGCCUCCUGAAAGGAAGAUUAAUCCAGGAUGGCAUCAUGAGUUCACAUGUCCGCAUGAUUAAAGGUAUUUUCCGGUAGACGAUGGGGAUGCGUUCCAUUAGAUAGUAGGCGGGGUAACGGCCCACCUAGUCAACGAUGGAUAGGGGUUCUGAGAGGAAGGCCCCCCACAUUGGAACUGAGACACGGUCCAA